UACAGAGGUCUCAAGCGUUGUUCGGAUUCAUUGGGCGUAAAGGGUGCGUAGGUGGCGCGGUAAGUCGGGUGUGAAAUUUCGGAGCUUAACUCCGAAACUGCAUUCGAUACUGCCGUGCUUGAGGACUGGAGAGGAGACUGGAAUUUACGGUGUAGCAGUGAAAUGCGUAGAGAUCGUAAGGAAGACCAGUGGCGAAGGCGGGUCUCUGGACAGUUCCUGACACUGAGG
rnacentral:rRNA from 1 species